CACUGAGGAGGGGACAGAAGGUGACACUCAGGAGGGGACACUCAGGAGGUGACACUGAGGAGGUGACACUCAGCAGGGGACACUGAGGAGGUGACACUCAGCAGGUGACACUCAGCAGCAGGUGACACUCAGCAGGUGACAGGGAGGAGGUGACACUGAGCAGGUGACACUGAGCAGGUGACACUGAGCAGGUGACACUGAGCAGGUGACAGGGAGGAGGUGACACUCAGCAGGUGACACUGAGCAGGUGACACUGAGCAGGUGACACUCAGCAGGUGACACUGAGGAGGUGACACUGAGGAG